GUGCCUGUGUACAAACCUCUGGGAACCAGUAUGAGACAGCCUAGUACAGAAAAGUUGACGGCAGCAGUUUUUUACAGUGAAAGCCUUCAGGAUGUGACAUGAAGCGAUCUUGUUUGUUCAUUGCAAAGAGUGCAGUCUCUCUUCAGUUGCCUCACAACACGUAUUUUGUGUUGUGCUCCAAAUGAUUUCAUCCUUUUUGUUUUGUUCCUGUGCAAACGUGUGAGUGAGAAUGUGGGAGUAUGCAUAUGUUCUCCUCAGUAUACUGUACGAUGGUUUGUGAGUUCAAGUGUGUGCAUGCGUGUGUGUGUUCUAGUGUGUCCUUUCCCUGGAGAGAUAUCCUGCCUCCAGCAUAGUCAGAGGGGCUGACAGAUGACCACAAGGUCACUCAUCUCCUCAAUCUGUGACCCUCUCAGGAGGCACAAACACCCAUAAGAGGGAUUUCAUUCCCCUUUUUUUCCUCUUUUUGCUUUGAAUCGCUUCUAUUCCUCGCUCCUCUCCUCUUCUGCUGCCUUCAGUCUCAACUUUACUUUGUUCUCUUGUCAUUUGCACUUAUCUUUUCCUCCUUCACACCUCUUAUUCUCCCCUCUGCGGUAUCACCUUUUCCCUUUUUUUUGCCUCACCUUCUGAGUUUUUUUUCUUUACAAUUUCUAAUUUUGCACUCCCUUCUUACGUUGUUGCCCCUUUCUCACUCGAAUUAAUGACCUCUGUGCAAACUAUUGAGAUUAUUGUAUUAACUAGGUUCCUUUGAAGACCUCAUGCAAUCUCUGAUACAAUAUUUGAGACCUACUGUGUGGUUGAACUGGCUCAGAUCAAAAGAUUUCUUUUUUUUUAGGUCAUGUUUUGUAUGAGACUUUGUUACCUGUGCCAGGGAGAUGGGGUUAAAAUUUAGUGUUGUAAACUAGCUUGAAAAAAUGAGAUAUUUUAAAGUAAAGUAUGUGAGUAUGAGUUUGUGUAACUGUAAAUCAUAAAUGAACUGCUGUCCUCUGAUGUUUUAUGUGAGAUCUUGCCAAAACUAAAAGCCAGCUCAUGCAAAAAUACUGACAGCUGUGGACUUGAACUCAGACCAGUCAGGUUUCUAAUUUUUAUACAUAUGAAGUGCACAUAUAUGCAUGUAUGCUAGAAAAAAUAACAUGAGGAAAAAUUGCUUUCUCAGUUGUACAGUUUGUGCAUUGCAGACAAUCCACAUGAUCAAAGGUUUUGAGCUACAUGCACAAGUCCACAGAGGGGACGGGAAACAAGAAGCGACCUGCAAUCACUCUGUGGUUCGUAUUAAUAAUGUGAGCAGCAUAGAUUAUUGAUUAACUGAUCAGGAAGAAAAUCAUCAUUUUGAGUCUGCUCUGUCAUAAAAUGUACAUAGAAAAUACUCAAUACUUGUGAAAAAAUAAAAAGAAUGACAUGAAAAACAUUUACUCUGCUCUCGGC
ensembl:lncRNA